rnacentral:rRNA from 1 species
GCAUAUCAAUAAGCGGAGGAAAAAGAAACCAACAGGGAUUGCCCUAGUAACGGCGAGUGAAGCGGCAACAGCUCGAAUUUGAAAUCUGGCUUCGGCCCGAGUUGUAAUCUGUAGAGGACGCUUUUGGCGCGGUGCCUUCCGAGUUCCCUGGAACGGGACGCCACAGAGGGUGAGAGCCCCGUAAGGUCGGACACCAAGCCUGUGUAAAGCCCCUUCGACGAGUCGAGUAGCUUGGGAAUGCUGCUCUAAGCGGGAGGUAUACUUCUUCUAAAGCUAAAUAUUGGCCAGAGACCGAUAGCGCACAAGUAGAGUGAUCGAAAGAUGAAAAGCACUUUGAAAAGAGGGUCAAAUAGUACGUGAAAUUGUUGAAAGGGAAGCGCUUGUGAUCAGACUCGCGCCGGGCGGAUCAUCCAGUGGUCUCCACUGGUGCACUCCGGCCGGCGCGGGCCAGCGUCGGCUGUUGCGGGGGGACAAAAGCUCUGGGAACGUAGCUCUCUCCGGGGAGUGUUAUAGCCCUCUGCAGAAUACCCCCGCGGCGGCCGAGGUCCGCGCAUUGCAAGGACGCUGGCGUAAUGGUCAUCAGCGACCCGUCUUGAAACACGGACCAAGGAGUCGAGGUUUUGCGCGAGUGUUCGGGUGCAAAGCCCCAACGCGUAAUUAACGUGAACGUAGGUGAGAGCUUCGGCGCAUCAUCGACCGAUCCUGAUGUAUUCGGAUGGAUUUGAGUAGGAGCGUAAAGCCUCGGACCCGAAAGAUGGGUGAACUAUGCCUGUAUAGGGUGAAGCCAGAGGAAACUCUGGUGGAGGCUCGCAGCGGUUCUGACGUGCAAAUCGAUCGUCAAAUAUGGGCAUGGGGGGCGAAAGACUAAUCGAACCAUCUAGUAGCUGGUUACGCG